rnacentral:lncRNA from 1 species
ACCAAUCUUGUCAUAUUGGACUCCAAAAACCCUACACAAGCUUAUUAUGGCUUCCCCAAGUUUUGUAAGGGAGGACGAAGUCCCUAUGAGUGUUCUUGUAUUCCAUCUACGCUACUUUAGCAAUCAGGAUCCGGGUUGCAUUUCUCUUUCUUAUACUCAGUCAUACACACCAAUCUUGUCAUAUUGGACUUCAAGAACCCUACACAAGCUUAUUAUGGCUUCCCCAAGUUUUGUAAGGGAGGACGAAGUCCCUAUGAGUUUUUUUGUAUUUCAUCUACGCUACUUUAGCAAUCAGGAUCCGGGUUGCAUUUCUCUUUCUUAUACUCAGUCAUACGCACCAAUCUUAUCAUAUUGGACUCCAAGAACACUAUAGAAGCUUUUUAUGGCUUCCCCAAGUUUUGUAAGGGAGGACGAAGUCCCUAUGAGUGUUCUUGUAUUCCAUCUACGCUACUUUAGCAAUCAGGAUCCGGGUUGCAUUUCUCUUUCUUAUACUCAGUCAUACACACCAAUCUUGUCAUAUUGGACUUC